rnacentral:rRNA from 1 species
GACGAACGCUGGCGGCGUGCUUAACACAUGCAAGUCGAACGGUAAGGCCCUUCGGGGUACACGAGUGGCGAACGGGUGAGUAACACGUGGGUGAUCUGCCCUGCACUUCGGGAUAAGCCUGGGAAACUGGGUCUAAUACCGGAUAGGACUCCUGGCUUCAUGGUUGGGGGUGGAAAGCUUUUGCGGUGUGGGAUGGGCCCGCGGCCUAUCAGCUUGUUGGUGGGGUAAUGGCCUACCAAGGCGACGACGGGUAGCCGGCCUGGGGGGGUGACCGGCCACACUGGGCCGGAGAAACGGCCCAGACUCCUACGGGAGGCAGCAGUGGGAAAUAUGCACAAUGGGCGCAAGCCUGAUGCAGCGACGCCGCGUGAGGGAUGACGGCCUUCGGGUUGUAAACCUCUUUCAGCUAUGACGAAGCGCAAGUGACGGUAGGUGCAGAAGAAGGACCGGCCAACUACGUGCCAGCAGCCGCCGUAA